ACAGACAAGGUGGUAUAUGGAUUAAUCAGUCUACCAACUGAUAAUUCUAUUCUAUUUGAUAAGAGUAUAGAAAGAGGAAAAAAAUGCCAAAAACAUAAAUAAUAAAUAUAAAACAUAUGCAAUAUUAAAAUAUUAUAUUGGAUUCCUCUACAAAUCAGAGUAGUGUUUUGCAUAUCAUAGCUGUACUGCUAGAAAAAAAAAGUGUUAUCAUGAUAUGAGUACAUAGGAUCCAAAUUUGCUUAUAGAGAGGGAGUUCUAGAUCACUGACAAGAGAAAAAAGUGACCUAACAAUUCCUCGAAUAGGAACAAAGUCUUAGGAAUCCCUGCUCAGAAAAACCUUAACAUACUUUCCACAACUUAUGAUUCAUUUGGCUAAUGGUUCCUUUUAGCAACUGCAAAUAGCCCUGUGUGUGUGUGUGUGUGUGUGUGUGUGUGUGUGUGUGUGUGUAGGUGAAUGUAAGGGGAAAUUAGUUUAUAGAAUAUUCACAACUUGGUGCCAAUCAUCUUAAUUAAAUCCGGGUUUUACAAAAUGUAGAUGUUGACCCACUAAUGAUUCUCCAGGAGCAAGUUUUAAAAACAGAAUGGAAUGAAUGGAAUGGAAAUGAAUAGAGUAGAAAACCAAACAAUAAUUGCAAAUGGUAUGAUAAAAUCUGAUUCAUGAAAUGCUUGUUUCAGUUAUUUUAUGUGUGUCUUUAUGUGUUUAUAUUCAGGAUGUAAAGUGUAUUUCUUAUGGUUUCUAAAAUUUUUAAAACCAGUGUAUGCAGUAGACUUCAUGCUGACAGCCACAGAACUCAGCACAAGAUAUGCUGGUGGAGAUGGAGAGGAAGAAAAAAGCACGUAAGGAAGCAGGUGUCUUUGGAGCUGAUGUCUUUUGAAGGCCAAAAGGGACCAAGGACACUGAUGACCCGAAGUUCAAAAGAUUCAGGCUAGGAACCAUCACACUUCCUGCAGAAAAGAAAUCUUCUUGCUCUUUAAUACUUCUAGGAAGAGACCCCCUUUGGUCCUGCUAACAGUUCUGGCCUUCAGAUCCCGAGAUACAAUUGUCUUUUUAAAACCAUGUGCAUCAUAAACAAAUUAAAAGUAAACUAAACUGUGAACAGAUACCCAGAGUAGGUGCGUUUGCUUGACAGCAUACUAAUUCAGCAGCAGUAACCAGUGGGUUCCUAUGGAUGCCAGAAACAAGCUUGAUUAAUCAACCCCUAUCUAUCAAAGUCUAUUUUACCACAGAGAGAAAACAAAAUUACGGAAUAUUAUGAAAUAAAAUUCGCGCAUCCAUAUUAAAAGGUUAAGCC
rnacentral:lncRNA from 1 species